AUUGCACGCACAGUGACCUGUGCAACUCGAGGAAGGGGAACCUCCUCAACAACGUUUCUCUUAAGCCACCUAUUGUCGGGAGCAUACAAAUCAGCCUGAGCAACAUUAAAAGACUCAGCAAAGAUGGACAGCAUGUGGCAACAAGGCAGAGACGUUUGACAAAAGAACAGGACAAAGGACAACCACUAACACGGAACACCAAAAGCAUCAAAACAGUCAAAGCCAUCAACAACAGGAACAGGGAAGGACGCAUGAUCUUCAAGCAUCAACUGCACAGCAUGUGCUGAAAAAAUGGAAUACACCAAACACUGCCAUCUAGGAUUCGUGUCACGAAAGUGAAAAGACGACAUUAUUUCAACUGCUGAGGCAGUCCUGGCGUCAAACUGCAGAGUGAGUGCUGAGACAGCUUGUUUACCGCCAUUGACAUAAGAAGUGUUGGUGUUCAGAAUCUCUUUCAGCCUUCUGUUUUCCCCCUCAGCCUGGCAAGAACUGCCUCAGUCCGGUGGUGUCUUGCUUCUGACCCCACAAUUGCACACACAGUGACCGGUGCAACUUGAGGAAGGGGAACAUCCUCAACAACGUUUCUCUUAAGCCACCUAUUGUCAGGAGCAUACAAGUCAGCCUGAGCAACAUUAAAAGACUCAGCAAAGAUCAGCCUUCUGUUUUCCCCCUCAGCCUGGCAAGAACUGCCUCAGUCCGGUGGUGUCUUGCUUCUGGUCCCACAAUUGAACGCACAGUGACCGGUGCAACUCGAGGAAGGGGAACAUCCUCAACAACGUUUCUCUUAAGCCACCUAUUGUCAGGAGCAUACAAGUCAGCCUGAGCAACAUUAAAAGACUCAGCAAAGAUGGACAGCAUGUGGCAACAAGGCAGAGACGUUUGACAAAAGAACAGGACAAAGGACAACCACUAACACGGAACACCAAAAGCAUCAAGACAGUCAAAGCCAUCAACAACAGGAACAGGGAAGGACGCAUGAUCUUCAAGCAUCAACUGCACAGCAUGUGCUAAAAAAAAUAGAAUACACCAAACACUGCCAUGUAGGAUUCGUGUCACGAAAGUGAAAAGACGUCAUUAUUUCAACUGCUGAGGCAGUCCUGGCGUCAAACUGCAGAGUAAGUGAGUGCUGAGACAGCUUCUUUUCCGCCAUUGACGUAAGAAGUGUUUCUGUUCAGAAUCUCUUUCAGCCUUCUGUUUCCCCCCCCUCACACUUUGUUGUUUGUGUCAUUGAGGUAAAGACGACUGUGGAGGCGGGCGUGGUAUGUUUGUGUCAUUGAGGUAAAGACGACUGUGGAGGCGGGCAUGGUAUGUUUGUGUCAUUGAGGUAAAGACGACUGUGGAGGCGGGCAUGGUAUGCCCAAAUGUCAAUACAAUUAAGCCAGUGGUUGGCAAUGUAAUCGUAAAAAACAUGGGACAAAGACAUAAUUUCAGUCACAUUUUUGUUAAAUGUAGCAAUGUCGUUCGUGGUGACAAGGAGUUCAAGGACAUGGGCCAGCUGCUGCAGGCGGUCCUUCACCUCUUUUGAGCAUUGCAGCUUCUGUAGCCUCGCUUUCAUAGCCUUGUGCACAAGUUCUCAGUGGUCAGAGCCUCUUUCAAUUAUUCCGAGUUCCCAGUGUCCUUCACGAUAUUGACCACGGUGGUAUUUUCGAUGCAUGAUAUUUUGAUUCAUCAAUCUCGACAGUUUUGUUUGGACCACCGAGUUGAAGAGGAUGACCGAUGAGAUAUUGGGCACAAAUAUCGCUGACAAAAUUUUGCCAAUCUACUACAGUUUUGGGGGGUGAGGUUUAAUUCAUCAAUUACGUACACUUGUCGAAGAUCUUUGGAUCAUAAAUAGAUUAAAUCCAACAGGAAGUAAAGUUGGCUCGUCCCUACUUUCCACUGGGAACAGUAAAAUAGGAUUAGACCUACGUUCCACAAUGCCAAAGAUCUACACUCUCUGCCCACGUGGCUGCCCUUUAUUGUUCUUUACUUUGGUACCAGAUAGAGAUUCGUAAAUCUCUACUGCGCCACUGGAUUUAAUUGUCUGGUAAUAUUACUGUCGUUCUACUACACUUCGGCUUUUGCCCCAAAGCCCCAAUAAUCCAGCUCAAAGAACACACUAACACACACUACUGGAAGGGUGGAGGGCCCCGAAUGUCCUUACAUUGGUCAGAAACAAACUGACGGAUGAUGUUGUAGAGAUAGGUCUGCCCGUCCCUGGAGAGCCCUGGCGAACACAACACAGGAGGAAGAGUCGCACCGGAAGCCGUAAUGGCAGGGUUCAACACAAACCCCUCCUCCUCCACCUCACCCUCCACACUCUCUUUGCUGCUACAUAUCCUGGCUUCUCUCCUGAAAUGAAGAAGUGCUGAAGUUUCUUGGUACCAGGAAAGGACUUGGACCACGGCUUGAAAAAGGCCUGCCUGUCGUAGGUGGGAAUAUACAGGGUGCCGUCCUCCUCCCCAACAAGCUGGGCCCUGUUGAUUCUUUUCCUGGUAGAACUGUCCACCACUGACUUAAAUUCCCGGAGAGAAUUGACACUGUGGCGUCUGAAACUCUUUUUGAGGAUCCCAAAACACCAGUCUGGGGCAAACUUGGUGUGUCCCGGGAGCAAAAAGUGAAGACUCACUGACGUGUGCUGGCCGGCCAGAACUCGCCAGACAAGGUACUGCAAGAAGAACUGAUUCUUGUUCUGUCCAGCACUGUUGUCGCAGUGUGGGUGCACGACACGUGCUGUUCCCCCAAGCUAAAAUGAGUAAAGAAGUAGUGCAGGUAAGAUAUCACUGCAUUACUCCCCUUACUGGCACACAGACCUUCAUCAACCAAGAAGUUGAUUUGCUGGGGGAUGACCUCGCAGUUGACCCCAAAGAUGCUGCAUUUACGGGGAACCAAAAAGUAGAUAGGCCCUGGCUGCAGGGGGUCAUGUGGAAGGUGCACCUGCUGAGCGUAGUCAAAUGAAUAGUGCAUGGCUAUGAUGUCACUAUGUCCCGGCUGUUCUGCUCUUAGGGAGCGAGAGUGGAGAUGCCUUGAGAGGCAGCUGCUAGCCGUGCACUAUCCACAAGACUGUUUGUAAUAACUACGCUCCUGCGUCUCACCGAACUGUUGUCCCUGGAGGUCUAGAAGGUCGCUCUUCUCCUCCACCGACAGUUGCAAAAUUUCAUGUAAUUUUAAAUGAGAGUUGAAAAAAUAUGAGUCUUUUCUCAAAGACAUUUUGACACUCUUAUGAGCUAUACAGCGAAAAACUUUCUCCCCCCCCCCGGAUUUUUCCGAGUUACCACGGGUACUGAUUGCCUGCUGCUUUUGGCUCUUUUUACAGUAGGCCUGCUUUUUUUUCCCGCUCUUUCAAAAAUCUUUUUCUUUCUGUUCUCUCGCUUUCUCUAACACCUCAUCUGAUGUCAAAAUUCAAUGAUUUUAAUGUGGCCUGGGUGGUUUUGGUUGGCGUGAUAGAUCUAUCUGAGAAGAGGGAGGCCCAUUGACCCCAAGAAUAAUGUCCAUUGAGCUCACCCAGAACAUCAGUAUUGUUGGAGCAGUAGGACAUGCUAGGGUCAUGGCCACAUUUAUGCAUAUUUUUUCAACAUUUUGUUACAAUGACAAAAUUACAUGAAUUAUAGGAAAAAUGUACAGGCGUGUAUUUCUACAUAAGAAAGAGCAUUUCCGGUGAAUAGUACAUCUCACUCAAAAGCUCACUGUGGUGCAAGUCAGUUUUGGAGCAGUUGGAAAUGCUAGGGCCAUGGCCACAUUUGUAUAUAUAUGCAUAUUCUUUCAACAUUUUAUGUUACAACGACAAAAUUUCCUGAAUGAUAGGAAACAGCGCAUCGGUUUUGGAAUGUACGGUCGUACUUCUAAUUCUAAAAAAGCGAUGUCUAAUUUUGUCGGUGGUGUGGGCGUGUUGAGUGUAAGGAUCCACGUGUUGGUACAGAUUUCCUUGCCAUCUCUCGCCACACUCUGAUAUGACGAGCAUGGACAAUUCCAUCAACCUCCGGGACCAUCUCUUCUUCCGUACAGCCACUGAGCUCUCGGCUUUUGAUGACAGCCCUGGAUGUGAUCAGACUUCUGUGAGGUUGAACACACAGGGAUGCCACCAAACAAGGUGCAGGCCAACAGUUUGCCUGAUUCUACACCGAAACUGACCUGUAUCAGGAGGUCCGUGAGUCCUAGUUUUUUUUUAAUGUAUUUUGGUUUGUGUAUCCCGAAACGUUUUAGGGACUUGUGUAUCUUAAAAACGCUUAGUGUGGUUAGAUUUGUAUCUUGUUUUUCAUCUUUUGGGGAGAUCACCAAGAAUGGUGACCACCCCAACGAUGUUCUUUUAGGUAAGUCCCAGAUGCUGACAUAGUGAGCAUGUUAGCCCGAAAGGCCUUUCAUUCUCUUGCCCAGGCCAGGAGUUGCACCUGCUUCUCUUGUCUGGGACUUGUUGGGAGUCCAACAAAUGGCACCGCUCGGAAGCCCAUUGCUGAUGUCAGGGUUACCCUGGGGGUAUACUCCCAAUCGGUUGGCAAGAAAUCUCGCCAUCCAACCAAGAUUGGCCAAAAAACCGGUUCGAUGAACCGGCCAUUAUAACCGGUUGAGUGCAGUAGGCCACUACGCCCGCCCGAAUCCAGGGCCAAAGUGCCGUGUUGGUGAGGGAAGCCACCAGGAUCCCAUUCUCCGGUCGUACGGGUCGCACCCCAUGGUCAAUAAAUUCGUAAAAAUUGAAGUUGAUUUUCUAAUUUCAUACUCUGUUAUAAUACGAUCAUUCUUUCCCGUCUUACAAUUAAUAACCGUAUAACGGUCACAUAAAAAUCUCGGGAGUCUUUUCCCUACAUAAAUACUUUCCUUAGACAAAUUCCUACUAUAUCCAUUUUUAUGUUGUUUAAAUUUUCUUGUAUGUUCUUACAAAAAAAUUAUUUUUUUUUGAUUUGAUAAAAAUCUAAAAAAUCUUUUUGCUGACUGUCAUAUGUCGGUCUUGUUCUAGUUUAAUUUCCUUUACAUUUUUUUAGGACUAUUUGAUUUUAAUACAGCUUCUAAACAACAUGAUAAAUUUUUUCCUGAUAAGUGCUAUUCAGACAUUUUUUUCUUUUGUCCCGUCUAAGCACCAGAAGCCGACUCGUCUAGGGGUAAAAAUACUCUACGGCACUGACAUGCUGUAAAACGCCAAAGUUUCUCUUCAUAGACAAACUCAAAUGUAUGUCCAUUCUGAUCCCAAUUAUGACCGGGGAUCAACGGUAUGGCAAAUAUUUCAUCUCUCCACAAAAGAUAAGCAAUCUCUUCACUCCUAUAUAACGGCAAUGGAAUUGCCAUCAAAGGACUUGCUGCUUCCUACUAUAUCCAUUUUUAUGUUGUGUAAAUUUUCUUGUAUGUUCUUCCCAUCCAUGAUUUCCCUGCUAAAGUAAGACGAGCAGGAGACAGUUCAUGGCAUAUUGUAUGCAUUACAUCAAAACCACACGCUCUCCGGGAUUCCUGGCCGUGCAGACAUGGCUCGCCUUCCUUUUAUUUCCGUAAAGCGCCCGGAAGGUGUGAGAAGAAGCACGGGACCCAGCUCCGAAAGUCUGCGGCGCUUCCCUGCUGCUUGUUGUUCCUCCGGUGAGUUCCGAAGCAAUGUCCUCUAGGAAGUCUUGAAAUUACAAGUCUGGACUGGUGUCUGCGGUGCAGCGGCUAAAAGUUUCACUGCCGCAAGCAGAAUACUUGAAAAAACUCGAGAAAUGCAUUCCCUAUACUUGCCAUUUGUUCCUGUUACACUUUCCUUUUUUAUUUUACAAAGUGAGAGUUUCUUUAGAAUAAAUUUUGCAUGAUGUAGGUGUAUAUUUUGCUUCACUUUACACAAAAAAAGAGUUUGUAAAAAAUUUCAAAUUACGUUUACGAUAAAAAGGCGAUGGAACAUGGAAACAUCAACAUUUUGUGAGAGAAAAAAGUAUUUGAAUGUCCUACCUGUUAGCAUGUGCUUGAUGGUAAAUUAUUUACAUUGUUCAUUCCCAAGCCGUCUCAUAUACAGUUGGUUCUCAAUGCGAAAGAUCUAUCCAUAGUGUGGAUCUUGUUCUCUCUGUAAACGUCGUAGCACCCACAUAUAUAUAUAUAUCCGAUCAACAGCAGCCGAUAAAAAAAAAAGGCAGUGCUGCAGUAUAUUUCAAAUCAUGAUACAUUCAUGAAAAUUUUUUUUAAACAUGUAUAUAUAUAUAUAUGUGUGGCUGUCAUGUCUCUUGCUGUGUCAGGGCUUUUGUGUUCCUGAAUGGCACAUUCUCUGAGCCAAGUCGGGUUCUCCUUGCUGAAGGCUGUAUGCUGGCCGUGGCAACUCCAGUUCAGGAUGCCCGGUCUUGCUGCAGCGAGGACACACGACUGCGUGUCGAAAAGUCGGCAUCGCGACUGACUAUGGCCAAACUGACUGGGAGCAGCGCAGAGGGUUUGGCACAUAGGAUAGGGUCGCACGUCCAGGACCAAGUAUGAUGCCAAAACGGUGGCUGGAGGGCGGAACGGAUCAAAAGUGAGUAUGAUUGUGAUUGUUUUGAGGGUGUGUACCCCCGCCGGAGAGUAAACGGACGGGCUCCGACCACACUCUCGCAGUUAGCCACAAUUUCCUCUUUUGAGCAGCCCUUCAGCUCAUGGCUGCGGGCCACGCCCCUCAACUGGUUAAACUUCUGGUGUCGCUCGGAUACACAAGGAAUAACACCGAAUCUCGUCAUCUUUUCCAGUCCGGCCAGUUCUUUUUCCCAAUGGACACUUGAUGAGUGCACCAGAGAACAGCUUGUGGACAUUCGUGGGAAUGUAUCCCAAAACCUGUCUUUGUACAUCACUAGUCUUGAAAAAAAAUUUUGGGAUCUUUUGUGUACAACAUUCUACUUAUUGAUCAACCGAUCACUCUGUUCAUAAAGGAGUUGUAAUCAUUUUUCUUUCUUUCUUUUCUCUUUAAAAAAAAA